ACCGGGUGCGGUGGUGCAUACCUGUCAUCCCAGCACCUUGGGAGGCUGAGUCAGGAGGAUCAAAGCCAGCCUCAGCCAAAGCAAGGCGCUAAGCAACUCAGUGAGACCCUGUCUCUA
rnacentral:sRNA from 1 species